CACUCCUACGGGAGGCAGCAGUGGGGAAUAUUGCACAAUGGGCGCAAGCCUGAUGCAGCCAUGCCGCGUGUAUGAAGAAGGCCUUCGGGUUGUAAAGUACUUUCAGCGGGGAGGAAGGCGAUAAGGUUAAUAACCUUGUUGAUUGACGUUACCCGCAGAAGAAGCACCGGCUAACUCCGUGCCAGCAGCCGCGGUAAUACGGAGGGUGCAAGCGUUAAUCGGAAUUACUGGGCGUAAAGCGCACGCAGGCGGUCUGUCAAGUCGGAUGUGAAAUCCCCGGGCUCAACCUGGGAACUGCAUUCGAAACUGGCAGGCUAGAGUCUUGUAGAGGGGGGUAGAAUUCCAGGUGUAGCGGUGAGAUGCGUAGAGAUCUGGAGGAAUACCGGUCGCGAAGGCGGCCCCCUGGACAAAGACUGACGCUCAGGUGCGAAAGCGUGGGGAGCAAACAGGAUUAGAUACCCUAGUAGUCCCAUGAU
rnacentral:rRNA from 1 species